AGGUCUGUUAAUGUUAACAUUACUCUUUUAAUACCAUAUACGUUACCAAACUCUCUGCUCCUAUAAAGACUGGAACUUCUUGAGUUCUUUAUCAAUGACGUGUGGUAUUAUAAAUUGGGUUUUUAACAUGAUGAGGCAUGUUUCCCCAAACUUGUGUUUUCUGGAUGGUUAGACAAUCCCCAGACACACUAGUAGUAUCAAGGCAUGAUGCUAUCCUUAUUUUGCAGAACCCUAAAAGCUAGAAAUGUAAAAAAAUGUUACAAUGAUCCUGAUAAUUCUGUUCAAGUACCAAAAAGCCGUUAGCAUGGAAACAGAAUAUUAUCUUCUAUUUAUAGCGUGAAAAGGCUGUUAUUCAUUAGAGGCACCGAAUGUCCACUCUUUCUGACUGCCUUCCCAUCUUUCGUCUAUCCUAUAGCAAACCAAAGAGCGGGUGAAGUUGUUGAUACAGCUAGCGGAUGGCUUUUGUGAAAAGGGGCAUGCCCAUGCAGCAGAGAUUAAAAAAUGUGUCACAGCCGUGGACAAGCGAUACCGAGACUUCUCUCUGCGUAUGGAAAAAUACAGGACCUCUUUAGAGAAAGCUCUCGGGAUUUCUUCGGAUUCCAAUAAAUCGAGCAAAAGCUUGCAACUGGAUAUAAUCCCAGCCAGUCUCCCUGGGUCAGAGGUGAAGCUGAGAGAUGCUGCUCAUGAACUUAAUGAGGAAAAGAGGAAGUCUGCACGCAGGAAAGAGUAAAUCAUUUGUCCCCUCCUAACAUAAUGCAUGUUUAUCCAUGCUUUGGACGUGUGUAAUUUUUUAUCUAUUUAGUUAGGAUGUUGUGCAUUCAUAGCCCCAGCCAACGUCUCAUUAAUAUGUCACCCAAACAUUCUUUUUUACAUUUAUGUAAAUUAUGUGCAUUAAACAAUGAAGGGGAAAAGUAACACGUGGUAGUCUUGGUCCAUGCCAAAGUAUACGAUGUGUCCCUUCCCCCCCCCCCUGCCUUUUCCAUUUGUCCAUUUCUACUUCUCAGCAAUGACCCUAUAUGUUAAAAAAGAAAAUGAGAAUGUGGAUUUUAAAUUGUGCAUUGCUAUUUCAUAAGUCGGAGGCAAGGCAUUUUAAAAUAGGCUGAUCUCUUGAACGUCC